rnacentral:rRNA from 1 species
CCAGACUCCUACGGGAGGCAGCAGUGAGGAAUAUUGGUCAAUGGCCGGGAGGCUGAACCAGCCAAGUCGCGUGAGGGAGGACGGCCCUACGGGUUGUAAACCUCUUUUGCCGGGGAGCAAGCGUGCGUUCGUGAACGCGCGUCGAGAGUACCCGGAGAAAAAGCAUCGGCUAACUCCGUGCCAGCAGCCGCGGUAAUACGGAGGAUGCGAGCGUUAUCCGGAUUUAUUGGGUUUAAAGGGUGCGUAGGCGGGAUGCCAAGUCAGCGGUAAAAUGUCCGGGCUCAACCCGGGCCGGCCGUUGAAACUGGGGAUCUUGAGUGGGCGAGAAGUAUGCGGAAUGCGUGGUGUAGCGGUGAAAUGCAUAGAUAUCACGCAGAACUCCGAUUGCGAAGGCAGCAUACCGGCGCCCGACUGACGCUGAGGCACGAAAGCGUGGGGAUCGAACAGGAUUAGAUACCCGAGUA